rnacentral:tRNA from 1 species
ACCUUCGUAGUGCAAAGGUCAGCACGCUCGACCCGUAACCGAGUAGUCCGGGGUUCAAUUCCCGGCGAAGGUA